GCGCCUGUAGCUCAGCGGAUAGAGCAGCGGCCUCCGACGCCGUGCGCACCGGUUCGAUUCCGGUCAGGCGUACCA
rnacentral:tRNA from 1 species